CCUACGGGAGGCAGCAGUGGGGAAUAUUGGACAAUGGGGGAAACCCUGAUCCCGCGACGCCGCGUGAGUGAAGAAGUAUUUCGGUACGUAAAGCUCUAUCAGCAGGAAAGAAAAUGACGGUACCUGACUAAGAAGCCCCGGCUAACUACGUGCCAGCAGCCGCGGUAAUACGUAGGGGGCAAGCGUUUCCGGGAUUACUGGGUGUAAAGGGAGCGUAGAAGGCAGCGCAAGGCGUGAGUGAAAUGCCGGGGGCCAACCCCGGAACUGCGCUGGAAACUGUGAAGCUGGAGUGCAGGAGAGGUAAGCGGAAUUCCUGGUGUAGCGGUGAAAUGCGUAGAUAUCAGGAGGAACACCGGCGGCGAAGGCGGCUUACUGGACUGUAACUGACGUUGAGGCUCGAAGGCGUGGGGAGCAAACAGGAUUAGAUACCCCUGUAGUC
rnacentral:rRNA from 1 species